rnacentral:rRNA from 1 species
UACGAAGGGGGCUAGCGUUGCUCGGAAUUACUGGGCGUAAAGGGCGCGUAGGCGGCACCGUUAGUCAGGCGUGAAAUUCCUGGGCUCAACCUGGGGACUGCGCUUGAUACGGCAGAGCUAGAGGAUGGAAGAGGCUCGCGGAAUUCCCAGUGUAGAGGUGAAAUUCGUAGAUAUUGGGAAGAACACCGGUGGCGAAGGCGGCGAGCUGGUCCAUUACUGACGCUGAGGCGCGACAGCGUGGGGAGCAAACAGG